GCCCAUGUAGCUCAGUUGGUAGAGCGCGUCCUUGGUAAGGACGAGGUCGUCAGUUCGAAUCUGAUCAUGGGCUCCA
rnacentral:tRNA from 1 species